rnacentral:rRNA from 1 species
AGAGUUUGAUCAUGGCUCAGGAUGAACGCUGGCGGCGUGCCUAACACAUGCAAGUCGAGCGGACCAAUGUUCAUUUCAGCUUUGCUGAUUUGAGCAACGGUUAGCGGCGGACGGGUGAGUAACGCGUGGGCAACCUGCCCUGUGCAGGGGGAUAACACAGCGAAAGCUGUGCUAAUACCCCAUAAGACUACGCUAUCGCAUGAUAGAGUAGUCAAAGCUUUAGCGGCACAGGAUGGGCCCGCGUCUGAUUAGCUAGUUGGUGGGGUAACGGCCUACCAAGGCGACGAUCAGUAGCCGACCUGAGAGGGUGAUCGGCCACACUGGAACUGAGACACGGUCCAGACUCCUACGGGAGGCAGCAGUGGGGAAUAUUGCACAAUGGGGGAAACCCUGAUGCAGCAACGCCGCGUGAGCGAAGAAGGCCUUCGGGUCGUAAAGCUCUGUCCUAAGGGAAGAAGUAUGACGGUACCUUAGGAGGAAGCCCCGGCUAACUACGUGCCAGCAGCCGCGGUAAUACGUAGGGGGCGAGCGUUAUCCGGAAUCACUGGGCGUAAAGGGUGCGUAGGCGGCCGAGUAAGCCAGAGGUGAAAGGCUACGGCUUAACCGUAGUAAGCCUUUGGAACUACUUGGCUUGAGUGCAGGAGAGGAGAGUGGAAUUCCUAGUGUAGCGGUGAAAUGCGUAGAUAUUAGGAGGAACACCAGUGGCGAAGGCGACUCUCUGGACUGUAACUGACGCUGAGGCACGAAAGCGUGGGGAGCAAACAGGAUUAGAU